GCGUGAGUGAAGAAGGCCCUAGGGUUGUAAAGCUCUUUCAUCGGGGACGAUGAUGACGGUACCCGAAGAAGAAGCCCCGGCUAACUCCGUGCCAGCAGCCGCGGUAAUACGGAGGGGGCUAGCGUUGUUCGGAAUUACUGGGCGUAAAGCGCACGUAGGCGGUGGAUCAAGUCAGGCGUGAAAGCCCCGGGCUUAACCUGGGAACUGCGCUUGAUACUGAUCUGCUUGAGUCCGGGAGAGGGUAGCGGAAUUCCCAGUGUAGAGGUGAAAUUCGU
rnacentral:rRNA from 1 species